CAAUGGGCGCAAGCCUGAUCCAGCAAUGCCGCGUGUGUGAAGAAGGCCUUCGGGUUGUAAAGCACUUUUAUCAGGAGCGAAAUGCCAUUGGUUAAUACCCGGUGGAGCUGACGGUACCUGAGGAAUAAGCACCGGCUAACUUCGUGCCAGCAGCCGCGGUAAUACGAAGGGUGCAAGCGUUAAUCGGAAUUACUGGGCGUAAAGCGUGCGUAGGCGGUGACUUAAGUCUGCUGUGAAAUCCCCGGGCUCAACCUGGGAAUGGCAGUGGAUACUGGGUCGCUAGAGUGUGAUAGAGGAUGGUGGAAUUCCCGGUGUAGCGGUGAAAUGCGUAGAGAUCGGGAGGAACAUCAGUGGCGAAGGCGGCCAUCUGGAUCAACACUGACGCUGAGGCACGAAAGCGUGGGGAGCAAACAGGAUUAGAUACCCUGGUAGUCCACGCCCUAAACGAUGCGAACUGGAUGUUGGUCUCAACUCGGAGAUCAGUGUCGAAGCUAACGCGUUAAGUUCGCCGCCUGGG
rnacentral:rRNA from 1 species